AAGCUCAUAGGUGAAGAAAAAGCAAAGCCACGGAGAUUCCUGUCCAAGUUGGGAGUUUCCUCCCCUGCAAUACACCGAUGUUUCGGUCGGAUGUAGUCCGAGCACGUACGUUUGACCUUGCAUCACGGUGAACUUUGCCUAGGUAGGACGUUAUCUGAGAAAAUUCAGAUGAUUGUGUUCGCAAAGGUUCUGACGUGAAAAUCGAUAAUCAGAUGCUGGUUGAUUGAUUGAAUAUUAACGUCGCACUGUUCAGCUACACGAGGGUUUUCGGCGACGGACCACGUAAUUUUGAACCAUGGUCAAGUGACGUGGACGACACCUGAGCUGGCACCCCCUCUCCUAACUACCACACCACACCAACGGGAGGACGUUUCAGCUCUCGACAGAUUUAACGUGCAUCGCUGCCCUACACGGCGGGUCUUUAGUGGUACUGGGCUCGAACUCGUGACAAGGCAAGCCACGAUCCAAUACCUAUGCCACUCGGCUACCGCGGCCACAUCAGAUGCCGGUAUAUGGGUCAAAGAUAAUCUAAUUGAUGAUUCCCUCUGGUUUCGUUUAGAAUAGCUAAGACUCGAAGACAGUUUCAUCCGAUAAAGCGAAUGAUUAGAUGCUUUGGGGCUGAAAUGAUGAAACUGUCGGGAAAUUGUCUGAAACUAAAAGGGCGAAAAGUCCUACUUCGAUCGAAGGCCGGAUGCUUGCGUGACAGUGUUCAAUGGGUCGCUUUUGGUAAGCAGAACUGGCACUGUGAGAUGAAACAAGUACUGGGUUACGGCACCCGAUGUGAAACCUCUUGAAAGGUUUUGAUUGGUCUAAGUAGCAUGACAGUUACUGGCCGUGUGGACGUCGAAAUCUACCGAGGAGUGUGUAACAACUUACUUGCCGAAGCCUCUAGCUCUGAAAUUGAAUGAAUGAUGCUCCUACUUCGAGCCCAUAACCGUAUCACAGAUGUUUCUCCAGACUUAAGCGCAGUGUGUUGGAGUGUCGCGGCGAAGAAUGUUGAAUGUGUUCGGCGGGAACCCACAUGGAGUCUCUACCUUUGCACAUGUUGGUGCAAACGAAUAAUUGAUUGAAAAUCUUCAGGACUGAAGCUAGAUAUGAAUUUUUUUAAUUGACAUCGCUUUCCGAGAUCUAGUAGAAGAAAUCCUUUAAGAAACGAUACUUUGUAAAGUUUGAUUAAUGAUGCUCGCGCGUCUCGCAGUGAACUGAAAGGGAAUAAGACCAGUAUUCCUCUACAAGGACUUUAAGGUCUAUGCUUCGAAUGUGGUAAAGCAACCGAAUUCGGAGACGUCGGUGGAGUGAGUGAGAAAAAAAUUGCCUUUUCUUUGUUAGAGGUCAUGUCACUGGAAUCAUUUUGUUCCGAGACAUCAACCUCGUUAGAGCCUCACAGAUGUUCGAUGCCUAGUGCGCCUUUACUGGCCCUUGAAAUUCCGAGGCAGGAGACUGGUUUUCGUGCU